rnacentral:tRNA from 1 species
GACUCCUUGGCGCUACGGGAGCGCUCUGCCUCCCGAUCAGAAGGUUGCGUGUUCAAAUCACGUCGGGGUCA